rnacentral:lncRNA from 1 species
UCUAAGGAGAGAGGGCCGACUAAAGGUCUGUGUGAAAUUCCAGAUGUGACUAAUCCAGUGGCUGCACCUGUGAUUAUCUGACAUGACCCAAGAAGACUCAGUGUAGCAGGUUUGUAGCUUCUCGUUAACGAGGAGUCUGUGUGUCUGUGUGCACUGAGGACGGCUUUCUCCUUCCCUUGUCUCUCCCCGAGGUCCUUGCUGAGUGACUGAGAAGGUGUCUCCCCCCGCCACCACCAUCCUGAGUGAGAGCAGCUAUCAGGUCACCACAAGUUCAUUGAAGUUGAUUUUACCUUGGGUGUGGGGCUUGUUUGGAGUGAUUGUGCAUGGAGCAAAGAAGCCCUCCUGGAGACAUCCGGUCUUCCGCUGUCCUCAUAGCCACAGUGUUAUCAGAGAGGUCAGAAAGUAUCCAAACAAGGAGGCUGUGGGAAGACAAUCUGAUCGGCUUCUGGAGAACAGCCUGGCUCGGUUCCCCACUCCACGCUACUAGACGGGAAGGAAAGAACCUGCCAUUCAAAACCAGAACAGCCUGUUCCCUGUGUGCUCACUCAUUCACAGAGCAGAACACCAAGGUACUUACAAUAAACACGUAA